rnacentral:rRNA from 1 species
AGGGGCAUCAGGAAGAAAGCUUGCUUUCUUUGCUGGCGACCGGCGCACGGGUGAGUAACACGUAUCCAACCUGCCCUUUACUCGGGGAUAGCCUUUCGAAAGAAAGAUUAAUACCCGAUAGCAUAAUGAUUCCGCAUGGUUUCAUUAUUAAAGGAUUCCGGUAAAGGAUGGGGAUGCGUUCCAUUAGGUUGUUGGUGAGGUAACGGCUCACCAAGCCUUCGAUGGAUAGGGGUUCUGAGAGGAAGGUCCCCCACAUUGGAACUGAGACACGGUCCAAACUCCUACGGGAGGCAGCAGUGAGGAAUAUUGGUCAAUGGGCGCUAGCCUGAACCAGCCAAGUAGCGUGAAGGAUGAAGGCUCUAUGGGUCGUAAACUUCUUUUAUAUAAGAAUAAAGUGCAGUAUGUAUACUGUUUUGUAUGUAUUAUAUGAAUAAGGAUCGGCUAACUCCGUGCCAGCAGCCGCGGUAAUACGGAGGAUCCGAGCGUUAUCCGGAUUUAUUGGGUUUAAAGGGAGCGUAGGUGGACUGGUAAGUCAGUUGUGAAAGUUUGCGGCUCAACCGUAAAAUUGCAGUUGAUACUGUCAGUCUUGAGUACAGUAGAGGUGGGCGGAAUUCGUGGUGUAGCGGUGAAAUGCUUAGAUAUCACGAAGAACUCCGAUUGCGAAGGC